AACCCAACUUGUCUAAGUUUUGAGAUGUUUUCGAUGUGGGACUUUACAAACUCAAAAACGACACUAAGUCCGUCCGUUUUGUGUAGAUAACCGUGUGUCAAACGUGAGCAGCUCAGUUCACUUUCCGAGUAUGUGUUCGGUGCUGGUUUUUUCCCUGUUGAAUUUGGAAGGAGAAGAUGAAGUCGACUCCGAUAGAGGUGGAGAAACUAGGGCUCGUCAACGUUGGUUACCUUGCGCAGAAGCGCCUCGCUCGUGGUCUUCGCCUUAAUUGCACUGAAGCUGUUGCGCUUAUCGCCACUCAGGCGUUCGUGUUUAUGUUUGUAUGUUGGAGUUUGUUCGUGAUGGUAAUAAUAGACAGUGGCAGAAUUGAUGGAUCGUGGGAAACAACUCCUUGGAAGGUAUUACCUCUGACUACCAUAUCAUUGUUAUAUUGUUGUUUAACUGUAAUUCUAUUUUCUUUGGCAUUAUGCUGAUUGUUGAGAGAGGAGCUGGCUUUGUCUUCUAUAUGUUUCAACGUUUCAUGAGUCCCAUGUAAACUUCUUCAUAUUUGGCAAGGAUCCGAGGGCUUUUCGGAAUUCCUAUUGAUUUAUAAUACAUCUUCUUAUAUUUGUAAAGCUUUACAAUGUUUAGUCUGGGGGAUAGUUAAUGUUAUGUGGAACAUUCUUUCAUGUUGAUGCUGCUACUUGCGUCGUAUACACAUUAUGGUGCAUGACUGUAUGGAGACAAGUUCAGAUUUGACAGCUUACAUGGGUUAGUUUGGGUUCUAUCCUUUGCAGGAGACAAGUUCUUCCAGCAGUUUCUUACCUUUUGGAUAGUGUACUGGUAGAAUGCUAUUCUUCGUCAUUGACAUUGAAAAUUUGAAAUGUCUUUUUUGUACUCAUACUCGUAAUUGAGACCGAGCCCAACUCUGUCAUAAUUUCUGAUAUCUAAGUCACUGAAAUAUUCACUAGAAAUGGUAGAUUCUCUUUGUAUUUGCCAAUAUUAUGCAUGGAAUAAAAUUUAAGGGCGAAGAUGUGGAAAUUGCUUCAGCACUAGAGAUUAAACUCUUGUCAACUUCAUACAAUCAACCCAUCUCUGUCUUUGAAAUUUUCACUAGAGAGGGCAGAUUCUGAGCCCUUGCGUGGGGGAGAUACUCUUGUUCUGCCCCCUUCUUGGGAUUUCGAGUAAGAAUAUUUUUUUGUAAUAUAAUUUUCCUAUUACGCCUUUAAGGGAGGAGAAUUUGUUGUAUUGUUUUCUUACUCAUAUCAAUGAACUAAUCAUUGUUUUAGAAAGUCUGAAAUAGCCUGCAUUAUGCUGAACUCUUAUCAGAAUUCCAAACUUCCUAAUUCCAAAACUCAUUUUUCCUCUACAAAAUAUUUGCAUCCGUUAUUUAUAAUUAAACAGUAACAGAGGUUGAAGGAACAUUUCCUGAUGGGACGAAGUUGGUCACUAUUCAUGAUGCAAUUGAUAGUGAAAAUGGAAAUCUAGAGCUUGCUUUUCUGGGUUCUUUCCUUCCAUGUAAGUGCGUACGUUUACUCAUUUUCUGUAAUGCUUAUAGAUACUUUCUUACCUGAAAUGUGGCCUUCUUUGUCUCUGUAGCAUCUCAGCUUCAGGCUCUCUUGUUCUGUUUCCUUGUUUUUUGAACUUGAAAAAGCUCUAGUUAUGCAUGCUAUAGCUAGCAACUUCUCUAUAUCAGUAACGAUUCCAUAACUCUUUUUAUCAUUUUAUUUUUUAUAAUCUAAAAGUUUCACAUGAAGUUAUCCGUGCUUUAUAUGUAUGUCAUGAAUUAUGGUGGCAGUCAAUCGUUGCAAUUUUAUUUGGUUUGAUCUUAUCCUGGACUUAUGCUAGGGCAAUAUUCUGACAGCCAGCACCUUAUUUCGCUUAGUCUGCAAUUUGCAAGUUAUUCACUUUGAUGACUAUGCAAAGCUCUGGGAAAGAGAAUCUGAUUUUUUGGUGCUUAUGGAGGAACAUAUCCGUCUAAGAUAUCAUCUCUCUUAGAUAAGCCAUAGAUUCUGAAUUUAUCUUCUUCUAGAGUUCUUGGUUGUCACAGCUAGCCAAUUCAUGACUCUAUUCCAGACCACUGGGUACAGUGGAAUAAUUACUGCCAUAAAUGGUGAUGAUUUUGCGGUAAGUCUACACUUCUCAUUUCCUCUUUGUAACUUUUCAGACAAAUCAUAUUUGUGGAUUCAAGUUCUUCCAGGUCCCUUUUUCAUGAAGCAUUCUCUCAGAUGUCUCCUCAGUUCAGGUCAUUGGGAUAAGUAUUUCACUACAUGCUGCAACAAAAAAAAAAUCCCAUAAGAGCCCAUACCAUUGCUUCUCUGGCACGUAGAUGGCAUGCACUAGCGGCAUGCUGUCCCGCUGAUGUUUCUCUACUGAGAACAAACAGUGUGGGCAACGUAGAAGCUUCCAGUUCACCAAUCUUGCUGCAUAUAAAUUAUUCUGAAAGUUAUCUGGAGUCACUCGACUAUGUCCUCAUAUGACAAGAGACGCCUUUGCACUUCGAUGAGGAGCAAAAAUCAAAUGAUUAGGGCAUAUAAUAUUAUAUUAUCUUCUACAAAUCAACUGUACUCAUCCACUAUGGAGCACAAAAAAUGCAAAGGGACUAAGGAAGAAAAGGGUCAACAAGUAUUGUUCUUUCCCUAAUAUUAGUAUGUUACAAAUCUCAUUUAGAAAUUUUUAAUCCACGAUUAGAGACAAUAGGCAAGCAUUAAACUCUAGUCUCUAGGAAGCAGCAACAUCAAUUCUAUUCUUGGCGGUGUAUCAACUUAUGCAUUUACUCCAUGUAUAGAAUUCUUUUCUUGGAAUUUUUAGGUGCACAGUAGAGAUUGAGGGUACAGGUCAAAAUCCACCCAAAACGUUGAACUGGGUCCUAGAUUCCUAGGUUUGCGAAAAAAAUUGUAUGCUUGUAUUGUUCAUUCAGAGUCCCCUGUAACCAACAGAGGAAGGGGGGGGGGUCUUUUGAGGGGCUUU